rnacentral:rRNA from 1 species
UACGUAGGGGGCCAGCGUUGCUCGGAAUUACUGGGCGUAAAGGGUUCGUAGGCGGUGCGGCAAGUUUGGAGUGAAAUCUCUGGGCUUAACCCAGAGGCUGCUUCCAAAACUGCCGUGCUAGAGUGCGAGGGAGGCCAGUGGAAUUGCAGGUGUAGCGGUGAAAUGCGUAGAGAUCGGGAAGAACACCGGUGGCGAAGGCGGCCAUCUGGACCGUUACUGACGCUGAGGCGCGAAAGCGUGGGGAGCAAACGGG